GUCAACAGAGCCAUGCUUAGCCUCGCCCCGGACCUUGGGUUCGCACUAGCGAGCUCACCUGUAGGUUUGGCCAUGGCUCCUGUAGUGUCUAGACCAUGUGUUCCUCCCUCGCCUAGCCCCACAUCGGCACGCCUCACCUCAGCCCGACUAGGCGCCGACACCCAGCGAGCUCCUCCUCCGCAAGCAAACUGUGGCAUGGGAUGCUGAGCUCGCCUAGAUCAUGUGCGCCCCUGUGUUUCCCCUCAUGGCGCGCCCUGCGCACCAUUGCUGACAUGCUCUACCUUGCUGUCCGCCCCACCUAAAUCCUAGCAGCAGCUCGUGCAUCAGUUCCCCCAUACGUAGCCAUGGUGGUGCUCUACUCACCAUGCUAACCACAACAGCAAGCCCCAAGCCACUCUCCUCUUUGCUCAGUCUGCUCAACGAAAUGCCCUCAGUGCACUCUGCUGCCCCCAUGCCAUGUCACCUGCGCGAGUGUUCGUCAAGAGCAGCCGCGUCGUCGAUCUGUGCAGCCACGACGUCUCCGCGUCUCGCUUCGCCGGAUUUGCACAGCGCUUGCUCAUCGUCGUCAAGAUCCUUGGUGAGCCCCUUGCUAGUAUCCCAUUGUUUUUGAAUCUCAAGUGCUUGAUAAAAAUGUUUGAACAUUUGGGUGUUGUUAAUCGCAGCUAGAUGUUGCCGCUGUGCCUCGCCCGGCACAUGGUUCGGUGAAGCGCCUAAACCGUGAACGGCAUGCGCGACUCGAAUCCGAGUUUGAC
rnacentral:lncRNA from 1 species